ACUGGCUCGUGGAAGAUAAGCUGGACGUUUACUCUGAGCGGCCUAUAUCUACACAUCUACGAAUCAUAUCAUCUAGCGGCACACCGGACUCGCGCGUGCAUAUUCUCAUUGGCGAUUCUCAAUGAAUACAACCUUGACAGUAAAUUAAUGUGAUAGCUAGCGGCGUAUAGGGCGUACAUGUUGGACAACGGUAUACACAGAUGACAGAACUAACAAGAACUUGACAGACUUCGCUUCAAAACACAUGUUUUUGCAGAUUCUUACGGAUGGGCAAAAGAAAGGAAUGUGUGCUAAGAUGUACGCGGCAACAUCUCCACAUCAUCAAACGAACGGGGAGGUAAUCAGAGCACGAAUGUAGUGUGCUUUGAUGAUGCAGUUAACACUUAGAGACAUGAUAACACCAACAUAUAGAUUGUAUAACAUCAGCACCAAUAUCGACUAGCGUUUCCAGCAAAAUAGUUCAAAUUCAAGACUACCAGACCGAAACUGUAAAAUAGCUGUGAAAUGUCUAGACGCAAUCCUCAAUUUCAGAUAACAAAGGAGCAAACAAAAUGUAAACAUUUUUCAAACUUACAAUCUGUUCUUCGGCAUAAAAUACACAGCCAUUUUAGGCAGGUUUUGUACAC